rnacentral:lncRNA from 1 species
UCUUAAAUUGGAUGCUUUGUUGCUCAAAGUGAAGUUACUUAUGGGCAUAAUGUCAGCAUUUCGAUCUUAUUUAUGCUUAAUGAAAGUUGCUUUGUUCAGUGUCACUUUUUAUAUUGUAUCGCUUGUGAUUCUAAGCUCACUUGUUUUAUAGCUGCUAUAGGUAUGGCUGGACCUGGAGAAGAAGUGUAAGCAGACCAUGCUAUGUUGCUGAUCUGCGCUGAUCUCCACAUCCAAGUUGGUCCCGCGACAGUUGGGUACCAUUUUGCCUUGCUUCAUUGACAAGGUGAUAUAAUAUGGUGCCCUGCUCGCUCUCACCCAAGCAACCCACUCCAGCGGUCUUCUCUCGGCAGACUGGAUGCAUCAAAAUACCGUUAGAAGGUCCAAUAAACAGUGCUUGGGACAUUUA